rnacentral:rRNA from 1 species
GAUGAACGCUGGCGGCGCGCCUAACACAUGCAAGUCGAACGAUUACAGCACCUUCGGGUGCGUAUAAAGUGGCGAACGGCUGAGUAACACGUGGGCAACCUGCCCCUUUCAUUGGGAUAGCCACGGGAAACCGUGGAUAAUACCGAAUACUUCAAGACUUCCGCAUGGAAGACCCGAGAAAGCUCCGGCGGAGAGGGAUGGGCUCGCGGCCUGUUAGCUUGUUGGUGGGGUAACGGCCUACCAAGGCAAUGAUGGGUAGCUGGGUUGAGAGACCGACCAGCCAGAUUGGGACUGAGACACGGCCCAGACUCCAACGGGAGGCAGCAGUGGGGAGUCUUGCACAAUGGGAGAGAGCCUGAUGCGGCGACGCCGCGUGCGGGAAGAAGGCCUUCGGGUUGUAAACCGCUUUCAGCAGGGACGAGGCGAAAGUGACGGUACCUGCAGAAGAAGCCCCGGCUAACUACGUG